CAGACCCAAUGCAUAGUCCCAUGUUGUCACUAGCUCCUGUUACGUUUCAGCCUGCAGCUCAGGGAGGAGCAGCCCCAACUGCUAAUUGGAGUUCUUUUGGACGACAAUUGAUUAAAGAGAUCUGUAAAUCUCAUAAGGAAUAUGGUCCACACAGUCCAUAUUUCCGUGGCCUUUUAAAUUCUGAAUUAAGUAGGACUGUGGUAGUCCCACAUGAUUUAAAACAGCUUUUUUCCUGCCUCAUGACCUCCACGGAAUUCAAAUUAUGGGAAUCAGCAUUGAAACAACUGCUAAAAGAUGCUCUCCCAGGCUUACAGGCUGAUCCAAACACAGCGAAAGACAACAGUGGUAACCCUAUCACCAUUGAGCACCUCUGUGGUGAGGGUCAAUGGUCUUCACCCUCUAUCCAAGCUACUGCAAUUCCUGCAGAAACACUCGAGAAGGUAAAAGAAGCAGCUGAAAAAGCAUUCUUUUCCCUCCAACCUGAGGGGCCUUUUGAGCCCUAUAGUAAAAUUAAACAGCUACCAUCAGAGCCUUUUUUGAAAUUUGUAGAAAGGUUAACUAGAGCCAUUGAAAUACAGGUUAAAAAGGAAAAUACUAGGGAAGCAAUUUUAGAAAAAAUGGCAUUUACAAAUGCAAAUGAACAGUGUCGAGCGGCAAUCCUGAGCCUUCCUAUGGAACCUUCCCCUACACUAAAGGAUAUGCUUCUAGUCUGUAACAGGAAAGUGCCUCUGAUGAGUGUGGCUGAAGACACCAGACCAAGGCUGCUGCCAAGACCACUUCAGCGUGUCGCUGUUGCCAGCCCUGCGCCUUUUCCCUCAGCACAGCAGUACCCUGGGCAGCAGCAGAGACCAGCAAUGGUUGAGCCCACUAAACCAUGCCUGCUUUGUAAUAACCUAGGACACUGGAGUAACCAGUGGCCCCUGAAAAGGGAAUUUGAUGAAUUUAGAAAUGGCAGGGGAGGAGAACUACAAGCCCUCCCUAGGGGUCAACAACAAAAAAACUGAAAAAGGAGCGCCCGCCUGCCAGGCGUGCAGACGUAAAAGGAGCAGGCCAAGAGAAUAAGGGUAGCAAAUCAAAUGAAGCGCCCGAUAAUAUUAAUAUUUGGGUAAGUGAAGCAGGUUCUUCAAAGACCAAGUCUGCUAGUCCACUGUUGAAGGUGAAACAAAAUAACCUUUGUUAUGAUUUAAGUGAUCCUGUAUUAACUGCAUCUUCUGUCAAUGAGCCUUACAGGUUGCAGCUGACAGAGUCACUCCACCUGAAGGACACUGACUGGCAUUUUGUCUCUGUAAAUCCUGAACAGAAGGGUACUUGGAACCAAAUUCAUUUCCCUUCUAUCAAUUCAGAAGCUCCUAUGAAAAGGUACCAUUGGACCGUUCUUCCUCAGGGAUUAAAGGUAUCUCCAGCUAUCUGCCAGUGGUAAGUCUCUUCCCUGCUUUCCCCAGUGCGUGCAGCCGCAGAGAAGGCCAUCAUCCAUCAUUAUAUGGAUGAUAUCCUUGUGUGUGCCCCCAAUGAUGAUUUACUCACACAUGCGCUUGACCUAACGAUCGAUGCAUUGAUUGUUGCAGGGUUCGAGCUCCAGGAAAAGAAAAUUCAAAAGAUGCCACCUUGGAAGUAUUUGGGCUUAGAAAUUGGAAAUAGGACCAUUGUUCCUCAAAAACCAGAAAUCAAUCCAAGGAUCAAGACCCUUGCGGAUGUCCACAAGUUGUGUGGGUCUUUGAAUUGGGUAAGACCAUGGCUUGGUCUGACUAAUGAAGACCUUGCCCCUCUUUUCAAUUAAUUAAAAGGGGGAGAGGACCCAGGUGCUCCUAGGUCUAUUACCCCAGAGGCACGGAAAGCUCUAGAAAAGGUUCAGAUUGCAAUGUCCACAAGACAGGCCCACCGAUGCCGGCCUGACCUGCCAUUCAAAUUUAUCAUCCUAGGUAAGUUGCCACACCUCCAUGGAAUUAUUUUCCAGUGGGAGGAAAAACAAUCACCUAAAGCAAAGGACACACCAAAAAAGGACCGGGACCAGAGGGACUCUCUCUUGAUCAUAGAAUGGGUUUUCCUCAGUCACAAAAGGUCCAAGAGACUGACAAAGCCUCAGGAGCUGGUAGCGGAACUGAUCCGGAAAGCAAGGACCCGGAUCAGGGAGUUAGCAGGAUGUGAUUUUAAGUGCAUUCACAUUCCAGUUGAGUUAAAAUCAGGUCAAAAUACUAUGAAAAUACUGGAACAAUUGUUUCAAGAAAAUGAAGUGUUGCAGUUUGCUCUGGAUUCCUACUCAGGACAAAUUUCGGUAGCGCGGCCCGCUCACAAAUUGUUCGAACAAGAUGUUCAAUUUACUUUGAAAUUGGGAAGUGCUCUAAGUAGGAGACCUUUAAAAAGGGCUCUAACUGUCUUUACAGAUGCGUCCGGGAGGUCCCACAAGUCCGUUAUGACUUGGAAGGAUCCUCAAACCCAGCAGUGGGAGACGGACAUUGCUGAGGUGGAAGGUUCACCUCAGGUUGCUGAAUUGGCUGCGGUUGUUAGGGCUUUUGAAGGGUUCUCAGAACCAUUUAAUCUGAUUACAGACUCUGCAUACGUGGCAGGAGUAGUAUCCAGAGCAGAUCAAGCAAUACUGCAAGAUGUAUCUAACAUUGCACUUUUUGAAUUGCUCUCAAAACUGGUAAAGUUAGUCACUCACCGAGAGCAACCAUUUUAUGUGAUGCAUGUCAGGUCACAAACUGACUUGCCAGGGUUUAUCGCUGAAGGCAACAGAAGGGCAGAUGCUCUUGCUGCACCUGCAGUGAUGGCCACUCUCCCAAAUGUUUUUGAACAGGCAAAAAUCAGCCACCAGCUUUUCCACCAAAAUGCACCUGGCCUGGUUCGCCAGUUCAACAUCACUCGAGAACAGGCCAAAGCGAUUGUGGCCACGUGCCCAAAUUGCCAACAACAUGCACUCCCUACAGUGAGUACGGGAGCAAACCCAAGGGGACUGAACAGUUGUGAACUGUGGCAAACAGAUGUAACACACAUACAGGCUUUUGGACGGCAGAAAUAUGUUCAUGUUAGUGUAGAUACCUUUUCUGGAGCGGUCUAUGCUUCUGCCCACACAGGAGAAUCAUCUAUUGAUGCUAUUAAGCACCUCUUACAGGCUUUUUCUUUCAUGGGCAUCCCCAAGGAGCUGAAAACUGAUAAAGGGCCUGCGUAUAAAUCCAAGGAAUUCGGGAGCUUCCUGCAGCAAUGGGGAGUAGAGCACAAAACUGGCAUCCCCUACAGGUCAAGCCAUUGUAGAAAGAACUCACCGUGAUAUUAAAAGGGUCCUGGACCAGCAACAACAGGUUCUGAAGGUAGAACCUCCCCACAUCUGGUUAUCCAGGGCGCUAUUCACAAUCAAUUUUCUGAAUUGUUCUUUUGACAGCCUGAACCCACCCAUCCUACGCCACUUUGGGGGGAGCAGUCACAGGUUGAUGAAAGAAAAACCUCCGGUUUUAGUAAAGGACCCUGAGACUUGGAAAAUGGUGGGACCUUACAAAUUGGUUACUUGGGGACGUGGAUACGCCUGUGUGUCCACCCCCUCUGGUUUAAGGUGGGUUCCUUCCAAAUGGGUAAAGCCCUAUGUUCCCAAAGUCUCAGAGAAAUCUGCAGAAGCACCCCAGGUUGCUCACGCUGCCUGGAGAAGAAAACGCCGCACGCAUUCUCUGGAGGAAAUUCCAUUUAAGCCUCCUAUCUGGAAUAGUUUGUAAUAUAUGUUUGUCUUAAGUUUCCUUUUACCGAUUUAGAUCCUGCUGUUUGUGUGCAGUCUCGAGACGCCAUGAGACCGAGCCCAUUUCUCGUCCUACUUGCGAUCAUUUCUCCAGUGAUCUCCUGGUUAGUCCCUCAGCCCAAAGCAAAUGUAUGGACCACUCUGGCCAGAGCCCUUGGACAAGAUCACAUUUGCCUCUCCACCUCGACAGCCUCUGACCCCCGGUCAACUUGCCUGGUGGGAGUUCCUUUUAAAUCCUCAGAAUUCCCGAAUGAAAUGUGGAGUGCUUUAAAUGAAGUUAACUUACUCGCACCUUCCCCUGGCCGUUACCCUGCUGACAAUCCUUUGCUGUUUUGGCAGGAGUGGGCGAGAAAGUUACCAGCGUCAAAAAGGGAGCCACAAGAGUUCCAUCUCUUAGGCUCCAUGAAUGCAACCUUUUGCAUUCACUUUAAAUUCAAUUCCCGCUUACCAUAUCAUGAAGCUAAACCAAACACCUAUCCUAACCCUAGCAACCCACUCUAUACAGACAAGAACUGGUGUAAAAAUUCAGUCUUAGUUAUACACUCAUCAGGUGGUGAUUACAAGCCUCGUGAACUCCCAAAAGGUGUGUUUUUAAUAUGUGGAGACAGAGCAUGGGCAGGUCUCCCUCCUCGUCUGCUUGGAGGUCCGUGUACAUUUGGCAAGCUGAGCCUGUUAACACCAAAUCGAACAAAUCUGAUACAUUGGCAAUCUAAAAACGACACACAUACAUUGGCUAUCAAAAAAAGAGACCUAAGGCAAUUAGACCCUGACUGUAAUUCAGAAAUUGUUCCCUGGUCCAGACUAAAGGCCACUGCAAUUACAGUCCUUCUGCCGUGGAUCUCAGCAGCAAAAACUAUGGGAGAAUUAGGCCGAUUGGAAUGUUGGGUUGCAAAACAGGCAAACCUCACUUCUACUGCCCUGAGUGACCUCUUAUCAGAUGAGGAAAUUACCAGACAAGCCACCAUUCAAAAUAGGGCAGCCAUAGACUAUCUGCUCCUUCUGCACAACCAUCGCUGUGAAGAAUUUGAAGGACUCUGCUGUCUCGACUUGUCAUCAAAGGCAGAGAAUGUCCAUGCCACGAUUGACAAGAUGAAAACUAUGGUGAGCGACAUCAAGAGAGAAACUGACGACUGGCUGAGUGGACUGUUCAAUGGCUGGGGACUCUCGGGCUGGUUGGGAUCUAUUCUGAAAACUGUGUUUUUAGUGCUGUUUAUUUGAGUUAUAGUUAUUGUAGUUGUUAGCACUGUUUUUGGACUAAUCAAACGCAUGGUUCUCAAGUUAAUUUCAAGCUCAUCCCCCCCUCCUGAGGUCUACCAUUUGGAAGCCCUCAGUGCUCCAGUGGAUGACCUGGAAGCCUCAGUGGAAAACACUGACCCUCCUGUAGAAGAAGAACCGAUUUACCAACCAUGGUUUGGCAAUCAUUCUGCACCAUAAACACAGUCCUCUUCUUUUUAAACAAAACUAGGGGGAGAUGUUGUGGUGUGUUUUUAGCUUCCUGGUCCCUUUCUCAGGUGUGCCAAUAUUCCCUUCUCCCUCCCCCCUCGCCCCUUGCUGAGUGUGCCCUGUCAAUCAGGCUAACAUACCAGCAAGGCGUCGUGUGGUUGGUCGAUUUCAAAGGAUGCUCCUCAGGCGUGGGGGACAUUGGCCCGUAUAGGUGUCCCUAGUCCCUUGAGACCCUGCCCCUUUCACCUGGUUAGUAGCUCACCUGUCCCCUCCCCUUUCCCUGUCCCUGAGCUUAAAAGGUUAAUCAGACCAUGCGGCCUCUAUUCUGGUUGGAGCAGUUGCCCCGGUUCAGACCUCUGUAACCAUGGAAUAAACAUCUGGAUAUAACCCUC